AUUUGUGUAUAAGGGAUGUAUUGUGUGUUUCUGGUUGUGUGUAAGGGAUGCAUUGUGUGAAUCUGUGUUUGUAUGCAUAAGGGAUGCAAGGUGUGUGUCUGUAAGUGUGUGCAUUGAGUGUGUGUUAGUGAUGCAUUGUGUUUCUGUGUGUAUGUAAGAAAAGCAGUGUGUGUGUAAGUGUUUGCAUUAUGUGUUUCUGUGUAUGUGUGCAAAGGAUGGAUUGUCUUUGUGUGUAAGUGUUGCAUUGUUUGUGUGUAAUGGAUGCAUUGUGUGUUUCUCUGUGUGUAAGGGAAGCAUGUUGUGUUUCUGUGUGUGUAGGGAUGCAUUGUGUGUGUGUGUGCGCGUAGUGUCCUCUCCUCCCUGUGUCCUCCUC